rnacentral:rRNA from 1 species
UAGAGGAAGGAAGUCGUAACAAGGUUUCCGUAGGUGAACCUGCGGAAGGAUCAUUG